rnacentral:misc_RNA from 1 species
UCUCCGUAGGUGAACCUGCGGAGGGAUCACUACAGGCUUGCAAAAGCUCUGAAACCACUGUUCAUCUACCUGAAUCUGCUUCGGAGGGGGGCCCCAGGGCGGGGUCGUAGCCGCAAGACGCCAGCCGAAGACCCCUAAACUCCUUCCUAUUGAGCAUCUCUGGGUAAUUAUAUGAAACACAAACAACUUUCAACAACGGAUCUCUUGGCUCUG